AUUAAUUAUUUUGAGUCUAAUAUCAUCCCCUACAGGCAAAGGACACAGGUGGUGCAUUGGAGCAGGCACAUGAUGCAAACAGUACAGCUACAGAGAGGCAAAGGGAAACUGAGGAAGAGUAUGUCUUCCUGACAUUAGAGCAACAAUGUGCAGCAUUCAAGACAACUCGUCAGAAAUAUAUCUUUCAGAUAUGUUUAAGUUCUUCUUCUGAAGAGAAACCAGGAUUUACAUCCCGUGGGCACUAGAAUUUAAACAAGCUCCAGUCUGCAUCCAGAACACCUGAGAAGAGAUGAUGCCAACCCCUAAGAGGGCCCCAGAUGCUAAUCCUUUAAUAAUUUUUUUCAACACCCUCAAUGGCAAAAAAAAGAUCUUCUCCUUAAGGAGUAUAAGAAAGGCUCUCAAUGUCAGCCAGCUCUUGUGUCAAGAGCUUUGCCUUGAUUUGCUCGUGAAUCUCUUGUUGAAUAAAUGAAUUGAUGAAUUGUUAUUCAUAGGAAUUGAUAAAUUGCAGAUUAAUUGUUAAUUUGUUAAUACAGAUUGACAUCAAGUGCUGCAAAGCAUGUGUGGUGCUGCGCCUUGAAUUGUGCAUGUAA